AUACAUGCGUCGAAUGACACCGGUGGCUGAAUGUCUGGAAAAAAAAAACAUUAUUUUUACUAGCUAAACCGGAACUCAUACAUUGUCAUAUUAAUGCCACUAUCUUGAGACAUAAGCUUUCAGAGUAUUAUAAAAACAUACUGUGAUCGCCAACCGGCAUUUUCUGGCGGUGAAGCCUAUUGUGGCCUCUGGAGAAGGAUGAUUGGGACCUUGAGGCAUAGGAUUGUAUUGUAUAAAGGCUGUCCUACUCUUCAGAAAACAAAAAAUGCAAAAUUUGUUCAUUGCAAAAAUAGGCAGGAUGGUAUCACUCACCCAUCCGUGUUUUUACUCUUAUUAGAAACUAUUCAUUGUAAAUCUAGUCACGACGACACAGGCAGCGGAUUAAUUUAAUUAAAUUAUAUUUCAUUAA